rnacentral:lncRNA from 1 species
AGAUGACCUGUGCUCCAGACUCAGCUCUGCUGUUUAUUACUGUCAUCUUAGAGAAACUAACAUCUCUGAACUUCUGUGUCUUCAGAUGUGAAAUGGUGAUAUUGCCACCUAAUUCCAGGGUUGUUGAGAGGAUUCAAUGGCCCAACAAAUGGAAGGGUUAUUUAGCCCAGCACCCAGCACAGGGACUCUUUUGGGGGUAACAAACAUGAAUAGCAAAGUGAAUGUCAUGUGGUGAACCUUUAGUUGGGUGACUGAGUAAUAGGACGGAUAAACACCAGAUGUAUGUUGGCCUAAACAACCUUUAGCCUCCAUUAACAUUGCCCAACCAUAGACCCUAAAACAUUUCAUUCUUCUUUUAACUCCCAUGACAUUUACCCCAAAUGUAAAACUUUAUGAUAGUCUGUUUUCUGUAACUAUUUCAUGUCUGUUGUCCCAUCUCCGUAACUAGUUUCCAAGGUCUUUGAGGACAAGGAUGGUGAUGUUAUUACACCUGACAUUCAUCAAGUGUGAACUAUGGGCUAGCACUUUACAUUGAUAAACUCACUUAGCCCUUAUGACAACCUGAUGAUGACAUCCCUGUGUUAGGAAUCAGGGAAUGGAAGCCACAAAUUGAGGAUACUAGUGAGCAGCAGAGCUGAAACUCUACAGUCUGGCCCUAGGACCAUCUGUGCUACAGUCUGCUGCUCCCUACCCACUGGCAUAGGCAUAAGAGUACUCAGGAUUUGGUACAAGUUCUCUUGUAGCAGACAUGUUACUUUAAAACUAUUUGAGAGGAAGAGACACCUGGGUGGCUCAGUUGGUAGAACUAUGUCUCUUGAUCUUGGGGUCAUGAGUUUGAGCCCCACAUUAGUAACCUCUAAGGUUACUUUUUAAAAAAUUAUUUGAGAGGAAUAAAAGCCAAAAAACUACUUGAGUUAGCAGAACUGCCACCUUUCUGGCCGCUGAAGGCUAAACUCUCCCUUAAAGAACAUCCUAAAAGGAAUCAGAAUUCACACAAAAGCCAAGAUUACUGCUGUAGGGUACUUUGCUAUCUGAAGGUUGUUAUAUCAUGUAGGAAAUGGCUACGCUAGAAAUGUUGUGUCCCCUUCCAAAUUAAUAUGUUAAAUCUUAAUGCCCAAAGUGAUGAUAUUAUGCAGUGGGGCCAGGAGGUAAUUAGGUUAUGAAGAUGGAGACCUCAGGAAUAGUAUUAAUGCCUUUAUAAGAGGGCCCAAAAGAGCUCCCUUGCCUCUUCCACCGUGUGAGGACACAACAUGAAAUCUCACACCACCCCCAUGCUGGCAUCCUGAACUUGGACUUACAGCCUACAGCACUCUGAGAAAUAAAUAAACUCAGCCUACUAGUAUUUUAUUUCAGCAGCUGAAACAGACUAAGAAAUGAAGGAAGAAAAGAAAAGAAGAAAAGGGAGAAAGGAAGUGAGGGCAUAUAGCAGAAGUAAUGGGAGUAACGGUCAGAAAAGAAGGGACACCUAAGAGUUCUAUUUGAGGCACUGGAUGAAUGGAAUGAUAUAUGGGCUGCCAAAGCGAGCACAAGGACUGAAUGGAAUGAAAGCCAGGGAAGAGACUGCUGGAACACCAGAACAGAGACUGAUGGCAGUAAUGGCCCACUGGAGAGACCUCUCCUCCACCGGAACAGUCCUGAGAGAAUGAAAUAUUGCAUAAGGAAGCACAGUGCUUGGUGCCGACAUUCACACUGCACCUGAUGACAAAUUCAAGAUGGCAUAUAAAACAAGAAUUUAAAGUACAAACUUAACACAAAAUGUUUUAUGACACUAGAAACUCACUUUGAAAAAAAAAGGAGUGGAUUUCAUGCACCUUGUAUCAACCAGUUUUAUGGUAGAAAUGAAACAGUGUAAAUGAUCCCAAGCAUUUCUGUGGACUUUUAUAAGGGGUCAGAUUGGCAUCAUUGUCCCAAAGGUCAUUACUUCUAAAGAUCGUGUAUCAAGAGCUGGAUCCCAAUAAGGGAAUUUUGCUGUCGUCAGUGUGAAGGCCACCAAGCAAAUAUCUUUUGAAAAUAGACAUUUCCUAGAAGCAUCCACAUAUCCCAGUUAUCAAUACUCAAAUAAAGGAAGAUAGAAUGACUAUUCUUUAGAUCUUAAAGGAGCAGAAAAUAAAGAUUAAGAAAAUAAAGCAUGGUAGCAAAUCAUAGGCAGCCUAAACCUCACCUAAUUUCUGCCUUGCUUAACUAGUAAACAGAAGCUCUGUUAAAAUAGUAUGACACCAGAUGCUGCAACAUUAGCUAACUUACUAUUAGCUCCUGUCACUGGAAAUAAACACAAAUUUUUUCAGAACCAACUUGUUUUUUACCUAAUACGUAUUUCAUGUUCCUGCUCCCUGCAAGCCUCUCCUGAAACUGAUUUGAUAACAUCCACCACACUUUAAGGAGGAUUGCUUCACAUUUCAAAGGGUAACAGCACAGAUUUUUAUAAUAUACAUCUUAGCAGGAGAGAAUUACAGCAUAACCUGCAGCAACAUUUUCUCUAGCACAAUAAACUGAAAGCUUUAUAAACAUAAAAUAACAAUUUGCAUUAAAAGGUACAUGUUUUACUUUUGGUAUUUUCAGUUACAUAAAGGAUAAAUUUAUUCAAGCAAAAGAACAACUGGCCAUAACCUUUCCCUGACAGCUCUGGCUGCAGUUUUCUUCAAGCAAUGUAAGGUUUCAUAUUUUUCCAGAAGAGACAAAAGCGACUGCCUCAUGAAUUGUUCCUUAGAUUUUUAGUUCAGUACCACACAACACUUCUUUAGUAAGCUCCAAAAUACUACAUAUAGUUAUAAUAACACCAGUGACGAAAAAAAAAUAACACCAGUAACGAGUCACUACCCUUAGAUCAAAUUACAUUUGAAUUAAUUAUCUUCCAUCCACCUCCUUUUUUGGCUCCCCUUCUUCUGAUCUGAGCAUCUGAUCUUCAGCUGCUAACCUCACUAACUCCCCUUAACAGCCCAGUGGUUUUCAACUGGGCAAUUUUGCAACCCCAGGAGAUAUUUGGCAAUGUUUGGAGACAUUUUUGGUGGUUGCACCUAUGGGGUGCUACUAGUACCUAGUGGGUAGAUGCCAGGGAUUUUGCUAAACAUUCCACAAUGCACAGGGUAGGCCCCAACAACAACAAAAAUUAUAUCACCCCAAAUGCCCAUAGUACCAAGGCUGAGAAACCCUGCAAUAAUCUAGCCAAAACAUUGAAAAAAAAAAAAAAAAAAA